GACGUAGGGGGCAAGCGUUGUCCGGAUUUAUUGGGCGUAAAGAGCGUGUAGGCGGCCAGACAGGUCAGCUGUGAAAACUCGAGGCUCAACCUCGAGACGUCGGUUGAAACCGUCUGGCUAGAGUCCGGAAGAGGAGAGUGGAAUUCCCGGUGUAGCGGUGAAAUGCGCAGAUAUCGGGAAGAACACCCGUGGCGAAGGCGGCUCUCUGGGACGGUACUGACGCUGAGACGCGAAAGCGUGGGGAGCGAACAGG
rnacentral:rRNA from 1 species